rnacentral:rRNA from 1 species
AGGUUAAGUUAAUAAGGGCGCAUGGUGGAUGCCUUGGCACUAGAAGGCGAUGAAGGACGUGACUAACUACGAUAUGCCUCGGUUAGCUGUAAGUAAGCUUACCCGGGGGUUUCCGAAUGGGGCAACCCGAUCUUAAUGAUCAUCAUCUUUUUGAAUUCAUAGAUUAGAUGAAGCAAACGCUGUGAACUGAAACAUCUCAGUAGCAGUAGGAAAGUAAAGAAAUUUCGAUUCCGUCAGUAGCGGCGAGCGAACGCGGAAGAGCCCAAACCUGGAUGCUUGCAUCCAGGGGUUGUAGGACUGAUGUUGAGUUACAAAGGUAUAAGAUAGCAGAAACAGUUGGGAAGCUGUUCCAAAGAGGGUGACAGGCCCGUAUGCGAAAUCUUGUACUCUCUAAUCAGGAUCCUGAGUACGGCCCAGCACGUGAAAUUGGGUCGGAAUCUGGGAGGACCAUCUCCCAAGGCUAAAUACUAACUAGUGACCGAUAGCGAACAAGUACCGUGAGGGAAAGGUGAAAAGAACCCCGGAAGGGGAGUGAAAUAGUUCUUGAAACCGUGUGCUUACAAGAAGUUCGAGGCCGUUAAUGGCUGAGAGCGUGCUUUUUGUAGAAUGAACCGGAGAGUUACGAUUGCGUGCAAGGUUAAGGUGCAAAGACUGGAGCCGUAGCGAAAGCGAGUCUUAAUAGGGCGAAUCAGUACGUAGUUGUAGACCCGAAACCGAGUGACCUAUCCAUGGUCAGGUUGAAGGUGGGGUAAUACCUACUGGAGGACCGAACAAGUGGGUGUUAAAAAACCCUUUGAUGAACUGUGGAUAGCGGUGAAAUUCCAAUCGAACUCGGAGAUAGCUGGUUCUAUCCGAAAUACAUUUAGGUGUAGCCUUGCAAUUAGCUUACUGGAGGUAGAGCACUAUUUGGUCUAGGGGCCCUUCAAGGGUUACCAAAAUCAGAUAAACUCCGAAUGCCAGCUAAGUAUGUGCAGGAGUCAGACGGUGAGUGAUAAGAUCCAUCGUCGAAAGGGGAACAGCCCAGAUCACCAGUUAAGGUCCCUAAAUAUAUGCUAAGUGGAAAACGUUGUGAAGGUGCAUAGACAACUAGGAGGUUGGCUCAGAAGCAGCCACCCUUUAAAGAGUGCGUAAUAGCUCACUAGUCGAGUGCUCUUGCGCGGAUAAUGUACCGGGGCUAAGCAUAUUACCGAAACUGUGGAUGCGUAAGCAUGGUAGGAUAGCGUAAUUAACGCGAUGAAGGAUGACCGUAAGGACAUGUUGGAGCGUUAACUAGUGAGAAUUCCGGUAUGAGUAGCGAAAGAUAGGUGAGAAUCCUAUCCACCGAAUGAGUAAGGUUUCCCCCGGAAGGCUCGUCCGCGGGGGGUUAGUCGGGACCUAAGGCGAGGCUGAAAAGCGUAGUCGAUGGACAACAGGUUGAUAUUCCUGUACCGAUAUUUAAUUGCCGAAGGAAGGACGCAGAAGGAUAACACAGGCCACUAUUGGAUG